rnacentral:misc_RNA from 1 species
AGUCUUUGCUGAUUUUCCCACAGGUCAAUGCAACAACUGUAUCGCUUUAACUAAUUUAUUUGUAUCAUUUUUAUUUCCUUUGAGACAUUUGUAUAAUUAACCCUGGAAGUCUCAAAAUAACUUGCACAAAUUGGUGCAAUCAAUGUAAGGUUUUACCUUCAUGGAUGGGUAGGUUGGCAAAAUGUCAUUAAUAUGUAGGCCAGAGGAAUUAUCUUAACUGGUCCUGACUUUUGAUAUGAAUGAGGGAGAGGGAAGUGAAUUUAACAAUACUAGAAGGAAGACUAUGGGUUGAGUUUGACUUAAAUGUUUGCUCAAUAAUGGCUUGCAUUAUAUUUAUAUUGGGCCUACAGUACACAUCCAAAAAUAGAUUAAAUUACAACAAUCACUAGUGCACUUCCACAGCUACUUUAUUUUGCCCUCCUUUUGAAAGUGUUGGCGAAUGAAAUUAGGACUGCAAUAGUAUUUUCAUUGUUUACUGAUUAAGAAUGAUAUUCUUAAUGAAACAAAUUGCUGCAACAAUAAGUGGGCAUGGUACAAGAUAUCUCUUUCUCUUUUGGGGUGGGUGGGGUAUGACCCAAUUCUUUUCUGAGCUCCAUCCAAUGUAGUUUGGGGAUUGUGUAACCUUGAAGUAUGGAAGGUCUGUCUUUGAGUAAAAAUUGCAUUAGCAGUUUUGCAUGCCUUUAAUGUAAGAUGACAAGCAUUUUAUGUAAGACGUUGGGUACUAACCUUGGGUCUCUAACUUUACAUGUUCUUUUUUUAUAACAUGAUAUUAAGAAUAUGUUGGUGUUUUAGCAUAGAUUCUAACUACCUACUGGUUUAUCGAAACACAGAAUUAAUUAAAAGAAUAAAUAAGCCAUCUUAUUGUUUCGGUUCUUUCUCAUUGCUCACUCGUGCUAAUUGUGGAUUUGGUUCUUUGCUAAAAUGAUAUCAGGAACUAUCAUCUGACCUUUAUUUAUAGAUUAGUUUAUUUAGUGAAUGUCCUAUCAGGUAUAAAUUAAUAAGAGAGCUCACAUUUAAGUUUACAAUUGAUUGUGCUGCUUCCUCAGUCGAUGGUGCUUUUUUUAAGAGGUUCUUUGACUUUAAGAGGCUGUCAUAUAAAUUUCCAAAUAUGCUCUUCAAUUUGGUCUCAGGGCUGUAUCCUAGUAUGUGGACAGGACUGUACUCUAGAAGUAUAAAGUUUCUAUAGGUUAUUCUACAGUAAAAUUUCCACCAUAGCCUAAAUUUGCAUAUUUACUGCUUUUCAUAAAAUAUUUCUGAUUGCUGUUA